AUACCUUUCUCGGCCUUUUGGCUAAGAUAAAGUGUAGUAUCUGUUCUUAUCAGUUUAAUAUCUGAUACGUGGUCCAUUGGGCCACACGAUAUUAAAUUUAUUUUUGUCCGGGGAGAGUCCAUCACAGCAGCUUGCUGCUGGGGCUUUCGAGCUCGCCCUUGCGUUGCACUAUUGCCUGGGCCUGGCGCACCCUAC